rnacentral:rRNA from 1 species
AAAACCUACGGGAGGCAGCAGUGAGGAAUAUUGGUCAAUGGGAGAGAUCCUGAACCAGCCAAGCCGCGUGAGGGAAGACGGCCCUAUGGGUUGUAAACCUCUUUUGUCGGAGAACAAAACCCGGGACGUGUCCCGGACUGCGUGUAUCCGAAGAAAAGGCAUCGGCUAACUCCGUGCCAGCAGCCGCGGUAAUACGGAGGAUGCGAGCGUUAUCCGGAUUUAUUGGGUUUAAAGGGUGCGUAGGCGGUCCGUUACGUCAGUGGUAAAAUUGCGGGGCUCAACCCCGUCGAGCCGUUGGAACUGGG